rnacentral:rRNA from 1 species
UACGAAGGGGGCUAGCGUUGUUCGGAAUCACUGGGCGUAAAGCGUACGUAGGCGGAUCGUUAAGUCAGGGGUGAAAGCCUGGAGCUCAACUCCAGAACUGCCUUUGAUACUGGCGAUCUUGAGACCGGGAGAGGUGAGUGGAACUGCUAGUGUAGAGGUGAAAAUUCGUAGAUAUUAGCAAGAACACCAGUGGCGAAGGCGGCUCACUGGCCCGGUACUGACGCUGAGGUACGAAAGCGUGGGGAGCAAACAGG